rnacentral:lncRNA from 1 species
AGAAAAUAGUGUUGAACAGAUGAUAGGCACUCUAUAAUAAAUGGUGGAAAAUGGUGCCAUUAUUGAUGAUGAUUUACUUCAGCUAAAAGAUCCAUAAUUAUUACAGAGAACCGAAGAGUAGCCAAGGGUUACUGACUGAAAAUACAUAAACUUCAACAAGUCAAAUGAAUUCAACUACUUAGGCACAAAGGCCACUAGAAGCAUCUUUCUUGAGAAGGAAUUAAAGAAAGAAGAAAACAACUUUUUACUAAAGAUCUGUGAACAGACAUUUCCCAGCAGGACAAUCACAUCAUCUACUCACUUGUAUGUGAAACACUGAGGGCUGACCUGGGGCCAGAAGUCAACUCUGUGCGUGAUGUAGUACUACGAGUAAUCUCUGGGGUGUCCUGGGAUUAGUCUGAAGAUUGCCAUCAUCCAGCUAUUUCAUAAAGUCUG